CGACUCGGAAAGCUCCGAAGCAAACUGGAGCUCACCAACAAUAGCUGUAUGACCUGGCUCCUACUUGUGCGGUGUAUGAGCUGAGGUACCUGUGCCUGCAGCAUGAAAUGCAGGUCCCCCGUGAGGGACGUCAGUACGAAAUAUGUACUGAGUAAGUAAAGCUGUAAAUAAUCAUAUGUGGUAUGGGGGAUCAAGAAAAUCAGACACAAGUGAAUAAAUCAUAAUAG
rnacentral:lncRNA from 1 species